rnacentral:rRNA from 1 species
ACGGGAGGCAGCAGUGAGGAAUAUUGGUCAAUGGCCGAGAGGCUGAACCAGCCAAGUCGCGUGAAGGAAGAAGGAUCUAUGGUUUGUAAACUUCUUUUAUAGGGGAAUAAAGUGGAGGACGUGUCCUUUUUUGUAUGUACCCUAUGAAUAAGCAUCGGCUAACUCCGUGCCAGCAGCCGCGGUAAUACGGAGGAUGCGAGCGUUAUCCGGAUUUAUUGGGUUUAAAGGGUGCGUAGGUGGUGAUUUAAGUCAGCGGUGAAAGUUUGUGGCUCAACCAUAAAAUUGCCGUUGAAACUGGGUUACUUGAGUGUGUUUGAGGUAGGCGGAAUGCGUGGUGUAGCGGUGGAAUGCAUAGAUAUCACGCAGAACUCCGAUUGCGAAGGCAGCUUACUAAACCAUAACUGACACUGAAGCACGAAAGCGUGGGGAUC